rnacentral:rRNA from 1 species
UGCGCAGGCGGCCAUGUGUGUGGGGCGUGAAAGCCCGGGGCUCAACCCCGGAAUUGCACCUCAAACUACAUGGCUAGAGUAUUGGAGAGGGUAACGGAAUUCACGGUGUAGCAGUGAAAUGCGUAGAUAUCGUGAGGAACACCAGAGGCGAAGGCGGUUACCUGGACAAUUACUGACGCUCAGGCACGAAAGCGUGGGGAGCAAAAGGGAUUAGAUACCCCUGUAGUCCACGCCCUAAACUGUGCACACUAGGUCUUGGCGGAUUCGACCCCCCCAGGGCCCAAGCUAACGCGUUAAGUGUGCCGCCUGAGGACUACGGCCGCAAGGCUAAA